CGUGUGCAAGUUGUUCCGCUUCGGUCUUUCAGAGCUGCAUGCUCAUGCGAAAGGACUGCGAUCAUGGAGGCUCCGUACCAUUUGAGAAGUUAUCACUGAUGACCUCAGGGCAUGAUGAACCUAUAAGGCCAAAAAUGGAGCAGGUGAUUCAAAGAUGACUUCAGGGCAUGAUGAACCUAUAAGGCUGAAAAUGGAGCAGGGGAUUUCAAAGGAGGUAAAUCAAACCCAUGGAGUGAGCAGAAGGUGGCCACCUUAGGGCGGGACUUCUUACCGUCUGGCAUCAAGGCAAUGACUGACGUGCAUAUCGCAUUGAAAGAACCCAUGGAGUGAGCAGAAGGCGGCCAUCUUAAGGCGGGACUUCUGACCGUCUGGCAUCAAGGCAAUGGCCUGAUGUGCAAAUCGCAUGGAAGGUCAAUAGAGCUGCGGCCUCGCUCUCCGUGCCCUGGUGGAGACUGGUACCCAGCAAAGAAUAAAGGUUUCUGCUACCAGUCUCUGAAUGCUGGAACACACGAGGUCAUGAAGAUGGAUUUACAUGUGUGAUUUACAAUGGAAGAUGUUAAUAAAUGUAAUGCCUUCAGCAAUAUAAUGACAAUAAAUCUUCAAACUGCCA